GCGGAUGUAGUUCAAUGGUAGAACACUAGCUUCCCAAGCUAGGAAUGCGGGUUCGAUUCCCGUCAUCCGCUCCA
rnacentral:tRNA from 1 species